rnacentral:rRNA from 1 species
AGGGAUCAUUACCGAGUUCAUGCCCUCACGGGUAGAUCUCCCACCCUAUGUUAUCAUUACCUUUGUUGCUUUGGCGGGCCGCCAGGCUUUGGCCAGGCUACCGGCUCCGGCUGGUAAGCGCCCGCCAGAGGACCCCAAACUCUGAAUGUUAGUGUCGUCUGAGUACUAUCUAAUAGUUAAAACUUUCAACAACGGAUCUCUUGGUUCUGGCAUCGAUGAAGAACGCAGCGAAAUGCGAUAAGUAAUGUGAAUUGCAGAAUUCAGUGAAUCAUCGAAUCUUUGAACGCACAUUGCGCCCCUUGGUAUUCCGAGGGGCAUGCCUGUUCGAGCGUCAUUACAACCCUCAAGCACUGCUUGGUAUUGGGCUCCGCUGCUAACCCAGCGGGCCUUAAAAUCAGUGGCGGCGCCCUCAGGCUCUGAGCGUAGUAAAUCUCCUCGCUAUAGAGUCCUGGUGGUGGUAGUCAUCAACCCCCAACUUUCUAAGUUUGACCUCGGAUCAGGUAGGGAUACCCGCUGAACUUAA